rnacentral:rRNA from 1 species
AGAGUUUGAUCCUGGCUCAGAGUGAACGCUGGCGGCAGGCCUAAUACAUGCAAGUCGAACGGCAGCACAGCAGAGCCUGCUCUGUGGGUGGCGAGUGGCGGACGGGUGAGGAAUACGUGGGAAUCUGCCCAGUCGUGGGGGAUAACGUAGGGAAACUUACGCUAAUACCGCAUGCGCCCUUCGGGGGAAAGCCGGGGACCUUCGGGCCUGGCGCGAUUGGAUGAGCCCACGUCGGAUUAGCUAGUUGGCGGGGUAAAGGCCCACCAAGGCGACGAUCCGUAGCUGGUCUGAGAGGAUGAUCAGCCACACUGGAACUGAGACACGGUCCAGACUCCUACGGGAGGCAGCAGUAGGGAAUAUUGGACAAUGGGCGCAAGCCUGAUCCAGCCAUGCCGCGUGAGUGAAGAAGGCCCUCGGGUUGUAAAGCUCUUUUGUCCGGAAAGAAAAGCGCCGGGUUAAUACCCUGGUGUCCUGACGGUACCGGAAGAAUAAGCACCGGCUAACUUCGUG